rnacentral:rRNA from 1 species
CAGUCGCCGCGGGUAAUACGAAGGGUGCAAGCGUUACUCGGAAUUACUGGGCGUAAAGCGUGUGUAGGUGGUUGUUUAAGUCUGUCGUGAAAGCCCUGGGCUCAACCUGGGAAUUGCGAUGGAUACUGGGCGACUAGAGUGCGGUAGAGGAUAGUGGAAUUUCCGGUGUAGCAGUGAAAUGCGUAGAGAUCGGAAGGAACAUCUGUGGCGAAGGCGACUAUCUGGGCCAACACUGACACUGAGACACGAAAGCGUGGGGAGCAAACAGGAUUAGAUACCCCAGUAGUCCCUGUCUCUUAUU